UGAUAAACAAUUAAUUCCACUGGAUUGAGAGAAAAAGAAAAAAACUUUGAACAGAAAAAAAAGAGAAGAGAAAACAAAAUAACACCAAAGAUAAUGUUGAUUAUUGAGAAAGGAUUUUAAACUAAAGAGAAUUUGUUUCUUUUUCUCUUUUUCUCUUGUUCUUCCUUCUCUUUUCCCCUCUUCUUUUCCCUCUUCUCUGUUCAACUUCUCUUUCUUUUCUCUUUCUCUCUUCUCCCAAGAGGAGGUAACAUAAUUUUCCAGCCCUUUUUGUUUUCACUUUUCUUCUGUCACUUGAUUAACACUUACAAUUAAUUAAAUCGCUUAAAUUUAAUCGUAUCAAUUAAUUUAACAUAUUCUUUGUUCGCAAUUUAUCAUCAGUGUUUACUGGAAAUUAAUCCCGAUUAGAGUGUUAAUCCUGUUGAUUCACUUGUUAAGUAAUUAACGUUUGCCCUUUGAUGACAAGAUGGCGGAUCUUUUGGUUAAUCGGUUGAUAUUUUUUAUUUGUUUAAACGAGAUUUGCUUUAAUUGGUGUUGGUUUUUUGUUUUUGUUUCGUUUCUUAAAACAUCUCAAUGUGGAUCAGCUUUUGGCUUGACAAUUGGUAUCUGAUAAACGAUUGGAAUAUUUUGGUUGACUGAGAGAGAAAUCGAAAUUAUCAUUGUUUGGUACUUUUUGGAUAAAUUGGUGUUGUGUCUCUGUGUGGAAAUGGAUUUAUUGGUUAGAAUCAACAAGUGUCAACAUUAAAAAAAACACUAAAGGAGUUACAUGUAAAUGGAAUUUCUUCAUUUAUUGUCAUCGUCAUUUAUCAUCAAUCUCUAAUCUUCAAUCCAUCAUCACAUCUUUAUUUUUUUUCUUCCUUCAUUAAUGAUCCUUGUCUCGUAGACAAACAAAUUUUAUGGCUAAUUUGUUGAUUAUAUCGCUCAAAUCAAUCUAAUCAAUCUUAAUUUGAUUACCCUUCCUACACUGACGUUAACAAUAAUGUUAUUUCAUUGUCAACUAGGCAAUUUCCAGUGGAUGCUAACUAGUGUUUGAAUUAACAAUCAACCGGACUGCCAUUAACUGCGUUCUACCUUGAAACGUUUACUUGUCAUCGGAUUGAGAGUAUAAAUAUUAUAAAGGACAAUAAUCUCCAAUCAUAAUUUAAAUUUUCUCUGUGUGAGAAUCUCUGCUGGAUAUGACACCAUGGAGAAACUCACUUUAUUGAUUAAGACAAAGUUGAUCACAACUGGAAAUCAAAAUGAAAGGGAUGAUAAGUGAUUACAAUAAAAAAAAAGAUUCUGAGAUCGCUGGUUUCUUGGUUUUGCUUCGAUUUCUUCUUUGGUUUUUUGAACUUUUUGGAUUUGGAUUUGGAUCAUGGAUUUUAGCGUUUAACUGUACGCACAUUACCAUUCGGCCACUUUUGUCGGUCAGUGAAUAUUUAACCUUGAUUGGAAUCUGGAGAAAACAAAAAAAUGUCAACACAAUUGGUUAGUCAGAAAAAAACAAGACAGAUAAGUGAUGUAAAGUCCAUCAAGAGGAAACCAAUCAACAAUUAACACAAAUCUGAUAAAUUUGACGAUUUCCAUAUGAUCAGAAAAAUCAUUCAACAACAUAAUUUAAGACCUUGACCAAGAUGAAUUGAAGUCACAUCCAUCAUCACCACGAGAUUAAGUAAUUAGACGAGGAAACAUAUGGCUAAUCAUCAUCAUCGUUAUAAUGAUCGUGUUGAUAAAAAAAUAGAUUAGCAGUUUCCUUAAUUUAACUUAAAGUCGCUCAAUACUCUGUCUUUAAUCUAAUUAUCAUGCAUCAACAGAGAGGAAAACAAUUGACAACCAACCUCGGCAACUAUGGAUGGAGAAAUACAAAGAUUCAUGGUGACAUAUGAGCAAAAUUGUCGCUUAAUUGUUUCACCUCAAUACCCAGUAAACGUUUUCUUCAAGAUCAAUUACACUUCUGAAAGCUAUUGAAGCAAAAUCAAGAAAUUAUCCUACAACAAACAUCAAGUGCAUCCUUUUUGAUAACAAAGUAACUUCAUUUACAAAACUAUUACAUGGAUGGUUUCAAAAAGAUAAUAACAAUUAUCAUCUCGAACUUGAUGUUUUAACUUCCAUUAGCUACAAAAUUCAAUAUUUCAAAAUUUGUGUAAGAAUAAUUGAAAAAGAUACCCAAUUGAAUGGACCAACACUCCAACAUAACUAAUUGUUACUACGAUAAAUUCAAAUUUGCCUAAACAAAUUAUUCAUGAAACAAUUGUAUUUCCUGUUCCGAAGACAUCAUGUUGCUUAUCAUCAUUAUUCAAAAGCAAUUGAUGAAAGGAGGAAGAUGGAAAACAAACAAUUGUGAUAAUUGAUUGAUCGUUUUUCUUUCCAGAACAAUAUUGAAAGAUGAUUAUACAUGUAAUCAUCAACUAAAUCAAUUGGAUUUGAAUAAUUAUCACUUACCGCUGGAUAGAAAGGUUUAACUUCGAACGAAGCUUUGAAAAGAUAUUUACGACCUUUUUUGAUUGGACAAGAAGGUACAAUAUAACCUGAACAUGGAUCUUUUCGAGUCUCAGGGAACGGAAGUUCUCGUCCUCGAACCACACCUUUAAUUACUUCGGACAAACUGUUGGCAUUGAUCGCUGUGUAAAUAGAAUAGAAAAAUUAACCAAAGCUGAUUAGAACAAAAGGAAAACUUGAAAUAAUUCUGUUAGAAAGAGAUCAAUAUUAUUCUAAAUGAAUAAAUAUCUGUGAAUGACCAUCAAAUUGGCUCUUAGCACUUCGUCACCACGGUAAACAUUACACCAUGGAAACAAUGAGUCAAUAAUGGAAACACCCUGAGCAACAUUGGAAAAAAAGUUCCAUAAUCAAUGUUUAUUGAUUUCAAAUUAUUCAAAUUCAAGUGUUUACUUUAAAUUUCAAGUAAUUCAAAUGGAUUUCAAUAACUUGCGUUUACAGCUAAGAAAAGUUCGAACUGAUAAUAGAUAAUUGGAACUUACGUGCUUCGAAAUCAGCUUCAACCUCGACAGUUGAUCCAAGGUUGAUGAUACAAGGAUCCCCUGAACAUGGUCUUACACGAACUUCCCGAACAUUACCACCUCCUAGGGAAUAAAGAAAAUAAUAUCAAUAUAAAUGUCCAGUUUGUCUUAUGAAAUAUACAAUAUAAACACUGUGAACACUUUAAAUGGUGAUGAUAAUCAACAGAUAACUAACCACAAUCAGUGAAGUUUACACCCUGUCCAUUGACUUUGGUAAAAGCAAAACAAGUAAAAAAUAAGAUUAUUGAAGAUUUGAUCAUCAUGGUGAAGUUGGUGAAAUCGAAAUGAAACUUUUCUUCAACGUUCAAGAGAUAAUGUUUUAAGAAGGAAAAAAAAGGUUGGAUUUAUAAUUUGAAAGUCGAGAGAAAAGAAAAAGUCGAAAACACCGAAUACACACCGUGAGAUUUCAGCUCGAAAUCAUUAAGUGAAAUCGGAAAAGUGGUCUGAUGAAUGAUAAUGAUGACGACUAACCGUAGGUGGUGGUGGAAGGAAGACAAAAAAGGGAGGGGCAAAGGUUAAAUCGUAAAUGAAAGUGAAAGUUAAAUGUUUCAAGUUUUUCUUACCUCGUAGCCUAGUUUUUUAAGGAACUGUCGGAGUGGAGGCUCAUCACCGAAAAAUCUGAUGAAGAAUAAAAAAUCUCAAUUUCUCCGAUGAAUCCUUAGGAUCUGGUCCCAUGUUGCUUGUUGAUCGUUUUGGUUCCACCGUCGACAACCAGAGGUGUCGUUUUAAAGCAUCGUAACUGCUCGUGGAUUCGGUCGACAUCUUU